CGCGUAGGCGGGUCUGUUAGUCAGGGGUGAAAUCCUGCGGCUCGACCGUAGAACUGCCCUUGAUACUGCAGAUCUUGAGUAUGGAAGAGAGAGACGGAAUUCCAGGUGUAGUGGUGAAAUACGUAGAUAUCUGGAAGAACACCAGUGGCGAAGGCGGUCUCUUGGUCCAUUACUGACGCUGAGGCGCGAAAGCGUGGGGAGCAAACA
rnacentral:rRNA from 1 species